CAACAUCCACGUGUUAUUCUUCUCAAGUGAGCUCAUUUCAUCAUCCAUGGAUUGAUCCCACUUGAUUGAAUCUUCCACCUGCAGGGCCUCAGCAAUAGACUCUGGUUCCCCUUCACCAGUUAGCAACAGAUAGUGUAAUGGUGGUGAAUACCUAUCUGGUGAUCUAAUGGUCCUGGAUGAUCUCCUCCAAACCUGUUCAGGUGUCACUUGCUCCAUCUCUGAUUCUUCAACCACAGUCUCUGGAGUUUGUUGAGUUUCUGCUAAAACAUCUUUAGGUGUAUUCUUCGGCAACUCAAGCUCAACUCCCACUUGCUUUGUAGUAUCUUGAACCUUUUGCUCUCUGUCCUUGUACAUGAAAUUUUCAUCAAAUAUUACAUCAUAAUGUCUUAGGAUUUUCUUGUUCCUGUCAUCCCAAAACCUGUAGCCAAACAUGUCAGAACCAUAACCUAUAAAGUAGCACUUUAUAGCUUUAGCAUCAAGCUUGUGUCUCUUCUCUGGAUCAACAUGAACAUAAGCCGUGCAACCAAAAGUUCUCAAGUGUAAAUACUUGAGUUCAUUUCCCUUCCAUACUUCUUCCGGAAUCUUGAACCCCAGAGGAACUGAUGGACCCUUGUUGAUCAAGUAAGCAGCUGUGCUCACAACAUCUUCCCAAAACGCCUUAGGCAGCCCAGAGUGUAUCCUCAUGCUCCUCUGACGCUCAUUCAAUAUUCUGUUCAUCCUUUUAGUAACUCCAUUCUGCCUUGCCUUCUCAGGAACUGUUCUCAUCAAUAUGAUUACCUCAGCUGCACAGAAUUAUUUGAAUUCUGACUUGUCAUAUUCUCCUCCAUUAUCAGACCUCAUGUCAUGACCUAAACUGGGGCCCUAGUCGUGACGAGUAUUCCAAACUAUGAGGCCUGAAACACCCCUAUCUGUCUGGUAAUUAUGCAUGAAAUUCAUAUGAUGAAAGAAAUGCGGAAGAUACACAAUAUAACGGAAACAUGGUGAAAAAUCACGCAAAAGUAAUAAUGGGGAAUAAUGUCCCACAGUCUCAACUCAAUGAUCUGGCGAAUUAUCAAUGAUUCAUUCUUAGAUUUUCUAAAUGAUGAAGAGAUAAAAAAUUUGCACUAUUCUGAAAUGUUGAUUGUAAUAGUAAUAGUAAUAAGGGGUAAAUCAACUGAGUAUUCAACUUUGAAAAGUCUUUCAAAUUUUUAUAAGAAAGGAACUGAUGUAUACAUAGGGAAAGCCGUGUGCAAUGAAAAGUGCAAGCACGACUUAGGGAGGGAUCUUUACUUGUUUAUUUCAUUUCAGAUUAACAUUGAUUUUAUUUAACAAGGAACUUAUCUACUCCAUCCGACUAGUUCCGGGUUCGAAUCCCAGGCAACCCACUAUCAUAUCAAAAUUCUAAUUCUCUAUAGAGAAGUUCGUAUUUUUCCAAUCAACUUCAAACAAAAUUGGAACAGAUCCACAUACACCUUGGUUGACACGAGUAUAUAAGUCAUGUUAUGCUGUUGAAUAACAAGCCUUCUAUUUUGAUUUGUAGAAAACUCGUGUGCUUGGGAGUCCCUGAUGAAACAAUAAACCAAGAUUUUACCAUAACUGCAAUUUUUAGAGAGAGGAGAAAGCGAACCCAAGCUUAAGGAGCUCUGAUCCCCAAGCCAGCACUUGCUACUCUCUUGUUGGUGAUCGUGUUUGGUAGCUCUUCGGUGUAUCGACAGUCUUCCCGGUUUAGCACUCGAUAGAUCCCGCAAAUAUGCUGCUAAUUUGUGGGUGCCUAUUCUUCGAUCCAAACUGGUGAUUCACCGCAUUCCCUUCUCUAGUCAGGAAUGGAGUCAGGGAUGCCCAACUCAAGAUAAGUCCUAAGGUUCUGUUAAAGUAUCCUUAAUAGCAUCUCUUUCUCUAGAAUCCAGGCUUGUAGAUCUUUGGCGAAUCAACAGGGUUUCUUUCGUAAUUAGGUUGUUCUCCGAACCUUGUUUGUUACUGAGCUGGGUAACUCAAACCCUAUCCCCUUCCUUUCUUAAUAGUAGAUAGAUGUAGAGCUGGAGACUCCCUCGAUAGGGCAUCUCAAUCUGGCUCUCAAUCUAUCGUGUAAGGAACGAAGACCAUAGGCAUAGGGUAAUAGCUCCUUACUUGUAAUUGAGAUAGGGGCUCGUUCGAUACAAAUAUUUCAUUUCGAUCUCCUCCCUCUCUUUUUUCUAUAAAGAAUUCUCAAAAAAAGGAGUCAACCUGUCUAAACUUCUCUAUAAAAGUCUUUUCCUCGCUGCUGGUCUUUAAACUUGCAACUGGUAUCUAAGUCUAAGACAAGAGAUUUUUCUUACUUUUAAGUUUGAUCUUUCGCUAGGAGCCUUAGCAAGAAUGGUUGGAACCGGUCUGACCUAUGAGACUACUCGAAAGGAGGCUUCCUACCAGCACUAGAGUGGGAUAAGUCAACCUUGCCUUAGGUCAAUCCCUUCCCCUACUCGGGCAAGCAACAGACCUUUUUUAACAACCUCUUAUGAUUGAUUCACUUCCUCCAGCAUUGGCUUCCUUCUUACCUAUGAUAUCCCCAAGAGCUAAUUCGAUAGCAGUUGCAUCGGAGCUAGCUUGGAAAGAGAGGAGGCAUCCUUAUCUGAGCCGAUCGUUAGCGUAUUUCUUCUUCUCGAGUGAAGUAGCUUACUCUUGCUCUGUGCGCUAGGGAGUCAGACUAUGCUUAGUUCUCAUUUAUGUUUGUGCUGUGUGAGUUCUAUCUAGGAAGCAAGCACCGCAAAGGGUUGACAGGGCAGCUCGGCUGGUAAAAAAGGAGAUGGUACCAAAGCGGGAGGCUCGUAGAUGCUACUAGUGCAAUGACUAGUCUAAUCUCUUUUCUUUACAUGAACUUUUUUAUUAUGUAAACUCGGUGUGUUAUCUAAGUCUUUUAACUAGUCCAAUGGAAAUCUCCUGUAUUGCAGCAAAAGUCAAAAAAAGGGUACUCGCGCAGCAGCCUGCUUGCCAAAAAUAAAAAUCCUUACUAGCCGAAGUAAGGGACUUUCUUACUCCGCCUACAUAAUGGACAAGGACUUAGUUGACUAUUCUUAGCCUGUUAUUCAAGAAUCUUUCCUCAGAAUGGAUGAUGAAUGGAAGCGAGAUUGGAUUGACGUAUAGAAACUACAACUACAGAUUUGAUCCCUUUCUGUUAGGGAAUCCCGACUAGACGAGGGAGAUAUAAAAGUAACGUUGACGCUACAAAAAACAAAGUCAUUGCAUAAGUAAUGAAUGAGCUAAUUUCUUAUUAGAAGCCUCUUUGACUAGACAGAUCUCCUUUACCGAGGGGUUCCCACAGAGAAGUCUUGCUCUGGCUUGCCAAAAGCCUUUAAUAUUGAGAAUGUUGGAUGUAUUACACACUGGUGGAAUUGUGUAAUAAGGCUUUUCACUAGCUUAGUGAAUUGAUUUAAACUAGUAAAUAGAGUAUGUUUUUGUUGGCAGUGAGUAAAUCUUUGAUUCAGAGGGUGGAAGAUGUUAUGAAUCUGAAGUGGGCUCUUGGCUUAGGUUCACACUUUUUUUUGUCUUUCCUCAAAAAGUCGUUUACAGUCUUCUGUGAGUCCUUACUUAUGGUAGGUAACAGACCCUCGCCAUUGCGAUUAUCAUCCCUAAUCAGAAAGUGUUUUUGUUUGCGCGGGUUUAUCCAGUUGAACAUAGCGCUAACCCAUUCCGCUAUCAUGCUUUUAUUGAAUUCUGCUUUCAGCAGCUAUCCUCCCAGAUGUGGCUCUUCCUGGAAGUGAGAACACUGCUGCCCGACCAAGGAAAUAAGGAGAAGAUUGAAAGGGUUAUGAAUCCCAUUGAGUUAGCCCUACUUGAUCGAAUUAGCCAGUCUCUUCCGUUCCGCCUGUGACCCCUUUAGAAUUCCAAUGUUGCUGGAAGUGGUGUGCUUGAACGUAGAUUGGGAAGUGCGAGAGAGCAGCCCCCGUUCUAACAAAAUUUCCUUCUUUCGCUGUUAAGCAAGUCCCCCUUCUAUUCGGCUGGCUUUCUUAGAAGCUUUUCAAGAUAUACUCUCUCUGUCUAUUGAAAUCCGAUAGAGUCUUCUUCCUGAUUAUGCCCCGGGGGUCAAGUCUAAUCUAUCUUUCCCGAACUGCAGUCAUAAUGAAUUCUUUCAUUUGAAAAGAAGCCUUUCAAGAAAAGUCAAUAUAGUUGCAAGUUGCUCGAGCAGUGGGUUGAAGCCUGGAACCCUUAUGGGUAUGGAACCUUUUUUCAAAUACUGGAUCUUGUGCUAGUAGUUCCUGGAUGUCUUCAAAGUGGGCCAAACACAUCUCUUAUUGAAAUAGGAGAAUUCGUGAACUAACUUGCUGAAAGGCCUGAUAUCUACUAUUGAAGUAAAAGAUCCUACGAGAGCAUUUCUGUCUUCAGACGUGGUAUAGGACUUCUAUUUCUCGUAAGUUUUUAUCUUAUCUUAUAUAUAUAUAAGAUAAGCGGAUUGUUGGAACUAGAUCCUCUGCUAGAGUCAGAGUUGUUGUGUAGCCAGGUUCACCUGCCCAAUGCCAAUGAUACGAAGAGCUAGCUUUGCUACCCCUGGGGGCUCACAGAGAAAAGUCUACUUGCAUUUGUGUUGCAUGUGAAAGAGCUUUCCCUGCACGCGGGAACCUUCCUUCUUCGAACCUUGAUGCUCAGUUCUGUUCUCCCGCACACCCGCUUUUGCAAGGCUAGCCGGGGGGGAGGUGCUUUUUCGGGUUUGGUUUGCCUAGAUAGGAAGUGCGCUUGCAGUGCUUCUAGUAACUAUUUUGAAGUAAAAUAUAUUUCUGUUCCAGGGGUAUGAUUGCUUCUUUCUUCGGCUUAAAAGCUAGGGCUUAUGGUUCGUUAUCAGUACCUGUUUUAGAGCGAUAUAACCUCCUUGUCCGCCUCUCAAUGUCCGGGUCUUUCCUCAGCCCUCUCUCUCGAUGUGGUGCCUUUCACUCUGCUCUGUCAAUACUUUAUCGCAAUGUCGAAAGAUAGGAUUUCAGGUCUUUUGGCAAUAGAAGGCAUAUUACUAAUUGAUUCUUUGGCCAUUUUGUGUUCGAAUUCUAAAUCGGCGAGGC
rnacentral:lncRNA from 1 species